AUGAGCAGCAGCGGCGGCACAACAGAUGGAGGGGUUUCAGUGCCGAUGGGCCUACUACCCGGAUUUAGGUUCUCUCCCACCGAAGAGGAACUGCUUUCCUUCUACUUGAAGAAGAAGAUAGCGGGCGAGGACUCUGAAUUCAGCGACCUCAUCCCUGAAAUCAACGUGUGCGAGCGCGAGCCUCGUGAUCCGCCUGGUAACCCGUUAA
rnacentral:lncRNA from 1 species